rnacentral:rRNA from 1 species
UACCAGCACCCCGAGUGGUCGGGACGUUUAUUGGGCCUAAAGCAUCCGUAGCCGGUUCUACAAGUCUUCCGUUAAAUCCAACUGCUUAACAGGUGGGCUGCGGAAGAUACUAUAGAGCUAGGAGGCGGGAGAGGCAAGCGGUACUCGAUGGGUAGGGGUAAAAUCCGUUGAUCCAUUGAAGACCACCAGUGGCGCAGGCGGCCUCCUGGGCCAGGACUGACGCUGAGACGCGACAGCGUGGGGAGCGAACGGA